AUUGAACGCUGGCGGCAGGCCUAACACAUGCAAGUCGAACGAGUGGCGGACGGGUGAGUAAUGUCUGGGAAACUGCCCGAUGGAGGGGGAUAACUACUGGAAACGGUAGCUAAUACCGCAUACCAUCGGAUGUGCCCAGGUGGGAUUAGCUAGUAGGUGGGGUAACGGCUCACCUAGGCGACGAUACCUAGCUGGUCUGAGAGGAUGACCAGCCACAAUGGAACUACGACACGGUCCAGACUCCGACGGGAGGCAGCAGUGGGGAAUAUUGCAAAAUGGGCGCAAGCCUGAUGCAGCCAUGCCGCGUGUGUGAAGAAGGCCUUCGGGUGGUAAAGUACUUUCAGCGAGGAGGCGUUACUCGCAGAAGAAGCACCGGCUAACUCCGUGCCAGCCGCCGCGGUAAUUC
rnacentral:rRNA from 1 species